GAUAUACCCACUGUAUUGGACCCAAACACCUUCCUGAAAAUUGUUCUGAAGGGGUUAGCACAAGGAAACUAUUGUUAUGACUUGCGAGGUCUGCUGGAGGUGACCGGAUCCGGAUGACUUGAGCAAAGCUGUGAAAAUUCACGGCAAGGGAUAGGGG